rnacentral:rRNA from 1 species
UACGUAGGUGACAAGCGUUAUCCGGAAUUAUUGGGCGUAAAGCGCCCGCAGGCGGCUGUUCAAGUCUGACGUGAAAUCGCUCGGCUUAACUGGGCGGGGUCGUUGGAAACUGAAUAGCUUGAGGCAAGGAGAGGGGCGUGGAAUUCCCGGUGUAGUGGUGAAAUGCGUAGAUAUCUGGAGGAACACCAGAGGCGAAGGCGAAUCACUGGACUGCAACUGACGCUGAGGCGCGAAAGCUAGGGGAGCAAACAGG